rnacentral:tRNA from 1 species
AAACUUAGGAUAAAUUAAACCAGGGGCCUUCAAAGCCCCAAACAGAAGAUAAACCCCCUUCUAGUUUC